rnacentral:rRNA from 4 species
ACUUUCAACAACGGAUCUCUUGGUUCUGGCAUCGAUGAAGAACGCAGCGAAAUGCGAUAAGUAGUGUGAAUUGCAGAAUUCAGUGAAUCAUCGAAUCUUUGAACGCACAUUGCGCCCCUUGGUAUNUCCAUGGGGCAUGCCUGUUCGAGCGUCAUUUG